rnacentral:tRNA from 1 species
GGGAUAUUAGCUCAGUAGGUUAGAGCGCUACGUUGACAUCGUAGAGGUCAGCUGUUCGAAUCAGCUAUAUCCCA